CCUACGGGGGGCAGCAGUGGGGAAUAUUGGGCAAUGGGCGCAAGCCUGACCCAGCAACGCCGCGUGAAGGAAGAAGGCUCUCGGGUUGUAAACUUCUUUUAUCAGGGACGAAGCAAGUGACGGUACCUGAUGAAUAAGCCACGGCUAACUACGUGCCAGCAGCCGCGGUAAUACGUAGGUGGCAAGCGUUAUCCGGAUUUACUGGGUGUAAAGGGCGUGUAGGCGGGCCUUCAGGCCGGCGGUAAAAUUGCGGGGCUCAACCCCGCCGAGCCGUCGGAACCGGGGGCCUUGAGUACCGGAGAAGUACGCGGAAUGCGUGGUGUAGCGGUGAAAUGCAUAGAUAUCACGCAGAACCCCGAUUGCGAAGGCAGCGUACCGGCCGGUCACUGACGCUGAGGCACGAAAGCGCGGGUAUCGAACAGGAUUAGAUACCCGGGUAGUC
rnacentral:rRNA from 1 species